UGGGCUUCCUGGAAGCUAGUCUUCUCCCAGUGGCCUUCAGACGAACCUGGAGAACUCUCAGCUCCUCCUGCACCAUGCCUGCCUGAAUGCUGCCACGCUCCUGCCUUGAUGACAGUGGACUGAAUCUCUGACCUAGAAAGAAAACCAAAGGAUCCGGCCGGGAAAGCAAUCUUCUGGCCUAGAAGCCCCCAGGAGAAAGUGCACACACAGGUAAGUGGCAUGUAAGUAGUUAGUAGGUUAUCUAGCUAGAAGAUGGCAGAACUGGGGCUGGAAUCUAGGGAGUUUACAUUCCAAAGUGAAUGGGUCUGUUUACUCACUGCCUGUACUGCAGGAGAAUGAAGUAAAUGAUGGUCAGCAUAAAAGCACGCCCCUUUGCUUUGUUUCCCUGGUGUGGAAAGGAAUUGCCUUGCUCUGGGUGAGUGCCUGAUAACCCAGAAAAUGUCUGCUAGUGUUUUCUGUUUUCAAUUGCAACUAGCACAGGCAGUGUCAAAAGGGUAGCUGGGUAACAAAAAAACAUUUGGUAUAGAGUGGCAAUUGCUAGAACGGAAAUAAACCACUUGUUAGGAGCAAAUCUACAGAGAGCUUUCAUUACAAAGAAACCACCCUUUUCAAUGGUUCCUAUUCCUCUUAUGCUUUUCAAGCACUACUUAGCCUCAUUGUUGGUACUAAAGCUUUUAUGUUUCCAGGCACUUCAGAGACUCCCAGCAUGGUUGAUACCUAUUCUCUUUCAUUUCCUUUAUUGGUUUCGAUGCUCUUGAUUUCUCUACUGUGUUUAGGGCAACUAUACCCUGCAUAAGCUUUAGGAGCUUUUCAGAAAGAGCCCAUACUUGCUUUUGCUGCACUGAGCUCUCAGUACCCAGUUAGAAUGACUGCAGACAGGAGGUUGAUUAUUAACCUGUACCAUCUUGUAGAUGGUUUCACACUACUACUCCUGGGUAUUAUCCCACCACAACUCCUUUGCAAUAUCUAACUUUGCAUCAAUGUUUCAUGGAGUAUCAGUACAGGCGUGUUGUUGGGGUUUUUGUGAUUUAGGAAAAUGAAAUCAUGCUAAAUGUAUUCAAAUUAUGACCAGUUGAGGAAGAAGACAGAAAGAAAGAACCUAGUCAUGAUGUUUUUAUAUAAAAGUGGCAUUGUACAAUUUUGUAAAUAGUUUAUUUCCUGUAAAAGUUGAAGUCUAGCUAAAAUGAAAUGAAAUUCUGACACAAAACAUUUUCCCAUACAAAUUUUCUAAAUGUUUCUCUAUUUUAAAAAUUUUGGAGAUGGUUGCUAUAUUUAAAUGUCAGUUUGGGAUUGUUUCCUGGGUUGUUAAUAACUCAUUGAAUGUGAAUCAUAAUCUGUUUUCUUUCUAUUUUUAUUGGCAUUUGUGAUUGCUUCUUAAUCUCAGUGUUGUUUUUGGGCUUGCUGCAAUACAGUUCUUAUGAAAAAUUCCAAAGAAAUGAGUUCUUUUACGUUUUAGAAUUCAUUUUGUUUACAAUAGUAGAUACAAAUACUGUGUAUUUACAUAGUGGUAUUUAUAUAGUACUGUAUAUUUAUAUAGUGCAUGUAUGAUGUCUCCUUUGAUUAUUACUGUGACAUUUCACAGUAAGUAUAACAGACAUUAUAAUUCUAACUUAUAGAUAAGAAAUUUGAAAAUCUAAGAGAUCACAGUAUUCAUAAAAGUUUUAGUUGCAGAUCCAGUGAAACUUCAUAUCUAUAAAUUUUGAGAGACAUUUUCUCACUAUGAAGUCCAAGUUGAACUCAUGCUCACAAUACAUGGACCAUAGGCUCCUGAAUGCUGGACUAAAGUUCUUAUGAAUCUUGAAAUGGAAUUGAUACAGGUUGUAAGACAUGGGAUAAGAGUAAAAUAUAGUGUGGACCAGGGGCUUAUGUAUUAAUUGGAAACUUACUGCUAUUUGGGUUUCCUCUUUCCUCACCAGUUCCUACUAUGGCUUCUGUGCCCACGUCAGUACUGAAUUUCAUAGUCUUUGAAAUAGUGGGAGACUUGACAUUAGAUGCAUUAGAUGACAUAGCCUGAGUUUUGGGAAAUCCAGCAAGUGAAGAAAACCUCUAAGUGCCUUGCACAGCACUAACUCUGAGUAGCAGAGACUUUGUGGGCUGUCCUGGGGUGCACUUGGGAUCGCCUCCUGCAUCUCUGCUUCUCAAGUCAUCCCCCCCAGGUGGUGAAAUGUUAUACAGCAUUUUGUUUUUUCUCAGAGGACUAUGAUGCAUUCUGAUUGAAUUUUAUGUCAAAGAUGAGCUUUUACCAGUUGGAUAUUCUCCCUCAUUUUAUUUUCCUCAAUACUGAUCACUAUCUGAUAAUACAUUGUUUUCUGCUAUCUCUGCUCUCAGAAUACCUGCUUCCUGAAACACAAAAAAUUUAGUCCUUUUUUGUGUUCAGUCAAAUACCAGAAUCUUUAAUCUAUAUAUGAAAAUAAAGAAAUACAUAAACAAAUACAUAAAUCAGUGUUUUCCAAGAAUAAGUGUAUUUUAGAGUGGACUUUCUACAAGAAAAACAUUUUACCACCUUCUAUAACACCAUUAUAUCUCAUUAAUUUAAUUAGUUUAGUUUAUAUGCUUAUAACCUUCACAUUUCUUCCUUCUACUACAAACUCAUUCUGGAACAAAGUAUACAAGGGAGGGGGAUGUUUGCCCGGAAACUGGGAAAGGGAAUAACACUCGAAAUGUAUAUAAGAAAUACUCAAGUUAAUAAUAAAAAAAAUAAAAAAUAAAAAAAAAGAAAUGAAAGAUAUAGGACACAACAAAAAUCAUCCUGUCAUAAGACAUUUUGGGGAAUGCUAAAUGGAUGGAAGCAAGGGGACUGUGGCCAGGUGACUUGAGUAUAAGAGUGAGGUAAUAUAUGUCAAGAUCUGUGACUAUACUAAAUAUAAAUCUAUUUAAGAGAAAAUGAUUAUAAGCAAUUAGUGAAGAACAGUUUAUUACUCGGAAAAGGACUGAGGUUUGAAACCACUGUCUGGCAACUACAGAUACCAAACCUGUGACUUUCAGGACUUUCGUGUUCAUGGAUUAGAAUCUGCCUUGGAGCAUACAAGAAAAGCAAAAUUCACCUACUUUAACAGAGAGUCAGUGCUUCUCACAUCUUACCCCAUGUUCAUAGUGACCCCAUUAGCAACAAUGAUUGCAAAAUCUAAUGCUGACCCAGUGUUUUCUGUGUGAAAAUUUCUAGGUGAAUGGUAUCUUACUUAUUCAUUGGUUUGUCACCCAUUAAGACUCUGUAUAUGAAGGGAUAUAAAUUCUGCAUUAAAUUAGGUUUUUGCAUAUAAUGAUAAAAAAUAUCAAAACACCCUAUUGCAGGUUACUCUCUGGCCGCAGUGGUCUCCCUGUCCCCAUGGCAUUCCCAAGUGAACUUCUCAAGGUUCACUUGUCCCUGAACUGCUGUUUUUUCAGUCAUUCAAACCCUGUGGCUAGCUACUGCCAAACCAGGCAGCACUUCCAAAUUUCUGUGGCUAGCUGGGGGCAUACUCUCACAAACCCACACUCCACUGCAGUUACCUUUCCCAUGGAGCUCAGUUGAGUAGCUGCAAAAUGGAAAACAUCAGACAAUCUUAGUGUAGAACCAACAGAUAACACAAUCUCUGGUCAUGGAAUCUAUCACUAUAAUUUUAUUAACUAUUUAUUGUUACAAUCUUCUGGAGGCAGAUUCUGGUAGAUUCUGCCACUAGAUCUAACAGUCUCUGGCCUACAUUUUCCUGCUUUUGCUCCCCUCCAUACAAAAGGAAAUACCCUCUUCCUUCAUUCCCUCUUCUUCUCUUGGAACUGGAAGAUUUGCCUCCUCCUCCCCCAGUAAUUGACUUCAUGUCAUCAUUAUUAUUCAAUUAAUUAGGGGAGAAUUCUGCUACAUGAGGUAACAGAGGAAAACUGGCUCAUUGACAUAAUAAGCAUUAUAUUACCCUUUAAACUAGUUAGAUUCAGUGUGUUUAAUUCUUUAAAGGAUGUGCUUAUGACUUCAAUGUACUCAUUGAGUACUUCAAGUACUUCUGUAAUGUUCAACAAAAUGUAGUGGUUACCAAGACUCCAUAGUACUGAAAGUAGGUGUAUCUGGAGGAAUACCAAAUGACAUUUAGGAACCUUCUAGACUAUAAGACGUUUCCUUCUUAAAUCUUUGUUGGAAACCUUGCGCUUUGUAACACAUUAUUUUACAAAUCAGGAACAGAGAAGGCAUAGAAAAAACUAGUGCUACAAAAGUGGUUGGGGCACGAAUUUACUUUUUCCUUUCAGAUUUUCAGAUUGUCAUUCAUACAAUGAAUUUGUUUUAAUCAUUAGUAAGGUCUAGGUACUUUCUUAUGUUCUGGCAUAAACAGUAAGCCAUAAUGACAAGGUUCAAUCUUUUGUGGAAUUUAAGCUUUAAUAAGCAGAAGUAGGAGUAUACUUACUUCAGUAUUUCUUAUACUGUAUAAGAAAUUAUUAUUUUUUGGCCAAAACUAUUUCAGAUGAGCCCUGAAGAAUGAGAAAAGGAGUAAGUUGUUACUUUCCCAAGAUAGGAUUGUUUGACAUUGCAGUAUGACAUUUAUGGUGGUGCUAUCCCAUUAUACACCAAUACACAUACAUAAAUCUAAGUUCUCAUUAGUUGGUAUUUUUUCAGAAAGUUAUGAAUGUAGAUUUUUUCCAUGCUCAGGCACCGUCUUUGUCUGCACCAUUGUCUGCUGCAUGCAUGCACCAAACCUGCUGCAUGAUGGGUUUUGCCCCAUUGUCAUUGCGUGUAUCCUGUUUAAAGCUCUGAUUUCCUUUACCAAGUUUGCUCCCUAGUACACUAUCAGUGAUAUUCUAAGACUCAUUCUCAUUUCUCUUACUUCCACAAUCAGAACUGAUCAGAUCCUUUUAUGAUCUUUUGCUAUUUGGUAGCUAUGACUAUUUUGAUAUUUCUCAUAUUUGAGGAUAUAACUAAGCAGACAAGAUCGGUAUCGUAUUCACAGACUGCAUCAACUGGUUUGUCAUCAAUGCUAGUAAUCAGUGUUUAUGACUGACUCCUAAGAAAAUCACUUAAUUUAUUGGUAUGAUUGUCUUUGCAUAUGAACAUAUUUAUACCACAGUGGAGAGAGCAGUAAUAGCUCUAGAAAGUAGUUAACCCUAACUCAUUAAGAGCUAAGGUACUUUAUGAGACAGAAUAUGAAUAAAGUUGUCCCAUGCUAACACACAAACAAACAAGCCUGGUAGAUUAUUUUAUUGAGAAUUCUUUCUCCUGUUCCAGUGACUGUACUAGAUUAUGUGUGAUCUGGGACUGAACAUAAAAACAUCACUCUGUUUCCCACAUUUGUAAACUUUAUCUUCCCGUUAGCUUUUCUCAAGCUUUUGGUUAUUUUUGUUUUCCAGGUUGCUGAAAACCAUGUUUCAGCAUCAAGUUUUGCAGAGCCAAAUUUUAAUUUUAGACUUGAAUGCUUAAUGUCUAAUACUUUUUGCAUUGAAGUGCAUACAUUCCUUCCAACAUCCUUGUGAUUAAUUGAGUCAUUAAAGCAACUGUUGCCUUAUUAGUGAUCCAAGAAUGUGGAAUGGAAUUCUAGAAGUGAAAACUAACCACAUUUAUUUUCCUUUCACAGUAUGUGUGCUUGUGUGUUUUCAAAGGAGAUAAUGCUGCAAUGAAAAUGCAAACUGUAUACGACUAUAAUAUAUUAUAAUUCAUAAUAAUAUGGACAACUCAGAAGGAGAAAGCAUAAUAGAAACACAAAUAUAAUGUCUAUCUGGCCUCUGCUUCUGCAAAGAAACUUGGCAGUAGAGGCAUACUUUAAAGGAGAAUUUCAGUUGAUAAAUUCAAUGACAUUUAAUACUAGCUACCGUAACAGGAUUAUAAAAUGUAAAACUCAAAAGGCAAUGAUGCUAAUAUCGUGUGUGCUGAGUCACCACUUUCAUCCCUGUUUGUAACUAAAUCCAACAGCGUGUUCUUUCCUUAUAUUCUUCCUACAAUACCCAGAGACACAGUUGCUUCCCUUUCUCCACACUUCCCAUAGAGCUUGAGUUUUAAUGAUGUGUUUAGAUAAUGGCACUGGAGAGGCAUGACUUUGAGAGGUAUGCUCACAAAGCACUCCUCUGGUUUAUACACUGAGUCUAUGUGACAUCAUAACCAAAUUAAUCCUGAGACAUUUCAGAAUGGAGUCUGUUAUUGAAUCUAAACACUUAUAGUGUUUUACUCUGCUGCUGGUUAUUUAACCUAAGGAUUUUGUAGUUAUUGCAACAGCACAUGGGUAUCUGAAGCCAGCAGACAUAGAGAGCUUGAACUCCAAGUGGAAUUCAACCAAUGCAGUGCACUUUCACAAAGAGAGGUACAUGAUAGUAUAGUGUUCAGUCACAAAUAGGACAUCAGUAGCACACAUCACUACCAAGGAUCAGGGAUCAUCACAAAAGAGGGGGCAGAAAGAGUGUAAAAGCCAGAGUUUGCAAAGGAUGAGAAUGAAAUAGUGUUUUGUGGACAUGACAGGCCUGUUCCACUCAUGAACUCACAGAAGCUGUAGCUGCCUGCGCAGGACUCGUGCAAGAGCAAGGCAGCCAAAGUGGGAGCAUGAAAGUGAAAGAGGCUACCGCAAUUCACAUGUACUUAUUUGUAUGAAUAAGUCUUAGUACAUGAAACCAGAGCAAAGUUUGGAAAGAAAUGAACUGAACAUGAGAAUUGAUCAUGGUAACAAAAGUCUCACCUUUAUAACCAAUAGUUAAUAUUUUGUUUCUAUAAAAUGAAUUUGAAUUAAUGUUUUAUCUUGUGCUGUAUCAAUGUUAUAUAUAAUAAUAAUCCUGGAAAAAUUCAAUAAUAUGAACUUGACUAUAUUUGUUGAUUUAGACAAGACAUUAUUUAUUUCUAGUGCUAAUGCCUUUUCUGGCUACAUGUAUUAUAGACAUCCUUCACUAAUCUGUGGUUUAUAUUUAUUCCUUUAAAGUUAUAUAAUUUUAUAUAGACAUCUUAUGACUUAUCACAUCAUUUUGUAUUAUAACCAGUAAAUUCUUUUUGUACUAAGAUUAAAGUAUUUUUCGUAACAUAUAAGAGGUUGAUUUCUUUUUAAAAAUACUAUUCUGCUGUAUCGUUAGGUUUUACGGCCACGAACAGAUGCCAUGACCAAGCCAACUCUUACUAGGACAACAUUUAAUUGGGGCUGGCUUGCAUCUUCUGAGGUUCAGUUCAGCAUCAUCAAUGCAGGGGUAUGGCAGCGUCCAGGCAGACAUGGUGCUAGAGAAAGAUCUGAGAGGUCUACAUCUUCAUUUAAAGGCUGCUAGGAGAAGACUGGCUCCCAUGUGAUUAGGGGGAAGGUCUCACUGCCCAGCUCCACAGUGACACACUUCCUCUAACAAGGCCACACUCUCUCCAACAAGACCACAUCUCCCUGGGCCAAGCAUAUUCUAACCACCAUAUCUACCCAGUAUUUAUUUUGCAUGUACUAUGAAGUUGAUAUCUAAUUUCUUUUCUAUUUUAUUUACCCUCUGACUAUAUAAUGCAUUUAUAAAAAUGUGUUUCCAUAUCUUCAUUUUGUUGUGGUUUUGUACCAUUGUUUCUAAAACACCUCUAAUACAUUUAAGGCAUUGGAUUAAAUGUUAUGAAAUUAAACUUGUGAAGCUUAUACAAAUCUACUAGAGUGAAUAAAUUAAAAAAACCCUAUUGGAUAGUUUUUCAGCACCUAAAAGAUAACCUUUUAUAUAUUAUAAUAUUUUCUUAAUAAUUUUUCCUUGCAAAUCACCAUAACCUUAAAACUCUAGCCACACUGAGCUAGCUGAGGACUUUUUUCUAUCUUGCUUCAUAGUGUAAUUUAAGAUGGAAAAAUCUCGUCAUUUUGUGUUCAACACUCAUCUAAGAAUUAGUUCAGAACCCUGCUUCUCUCUUGGGGACAUUUCAGAUGGAAGUGUUCUGGGGAACCCCACGUUGAGAAUAAUGUUUCGGAAGAAAACAUAUCUAUCUCAUUAGAAGAGUUGCUUGGUUGAUUGCUUAUCUCCGCAUUUAAAAGUCCAACAUUAAACCAAGAACAUGAGAACCCAGAGGCGAGAAUGAACUGACAAGUCCUGCAUUGAACCAUUUGAAAAUGUCUUUAAAAUGUUAUUUAUUUAUUUAUUUACAGACCAACUGAGUUAUUUUUUUUUACUUAUUUAAUGCACUAAGUUUAGCUAGUGUUACCCAUAGAUGUAGGGGUAUAGUGUUGCCCACUGAGGAAUGCACAAGAAGAGGCAACACCCCUAAAGAAAAGCGAGUCUACUUCCCUCAACAGUCAUCAACUGUCUGUAUCUCCUCAGUUAAGGGGAUGCCUUCUUGAGUCCCUCCCUCAUCCAUGGUGGAGUGUUUAACUGCCUUGAUCUUCUGCAGAGUCCAGCAUGAGUGGUCAAGCAUACCUUGAUAUCCAGGAAUAAGGAAGCAGAGGUUGUUCAAUGUGGGAAUGAUCAAGAGUGAGAGCUGUUGGUGUCUUCACCAAUGAGCAGGAUCAUUACUCUACCUGACGUCCUGUUCCAUAUGUCAAACCGCACAGGAGAAUAGCUGUGGAACUACAAGGGGAACUUAAUGUGGUACGUUUUCAUUUAGUUUGACUUGUCUGUGAUUCCACACUUUCUUCUCCUCAGGGGAUGUCCUUUCUUCUGUAGCUUGGCUUGCUCACAGAUUUGAGUGUGGUAGAAGGAUGUCACAAAGAAACCUAGUAUGGCGAUGUCUUUGAUGUAUUUCCACUGGAAUUCAUAGCUUGAGUCUUAAUAAGAUUCAUCAGUAUCUUCACUGAUCUAUGUGGCCUUCUCAUUUCUGGUGUGAUUCUUUCCUCUCACAGAAGCAAUCCUCAUAGGUCAGACAUAGCCUAUGUUCUCCAGUAUCUUUCUUUGUCACAUUGUGAUGAAUGGCUCCUUAGGCACAGCUGCAGCUUUUGAAUUUUGGCAAGAGUCUUUCCUACUGCUCUUAUGUGCAUUUCGGGGGUGGGCAGUCUUAUAUUUCCAUUAAGAAAUAUGGAUCUCAAACUUGGGAAGGCUUAUUCUAAGUUUCUUCCUUUUUCAAAUUCUUAGUUUUAGAGUUCUUUUAUCAGGAGUAAUCCAUGUUUACCUACUUAAUGAUUUUUUUAUCUGUUUCUUAUUCAUUGUAGCAAUACAAUUCAAAUAUGUAUCUACAGAGGAUAAUGAAUUUUAUAUUUAAUAACUAAUAUGGAUAGUCACACAUAUACACAUAAAUCUGUAAUUACAUAUGUACACACGCAUGUGCACAUGCAUGAGUAUAUAUGUGCAAACACUGUGCACAUGUGCUACAAAUUACAAUAAACAAAACUUUGGUAGCAAGGUUCAAACAUGAACUUUACUUGUCUAUCAGAAAAGCCCACGAGAAAUAUGCUCAGAUGUAGAACCUUCCCUGUUUACAACUGGGCCAGUGCUUUUGGCAAUGGUAAUCUGACUGGAGAAAAUGAAAGUGAUAAAAACUAUUUAUUGAGUUCCAAAACACUGACUUCAAAACAAUUAAACUAAUAAAGUAGUUUCACUAUUUCUGAACUCAAAGAGUCUUUAAAAAUUAAAUUGUUUUUAACUCAUGAUUUCUUAACUCAUAAAUGUGUUUUUUCAAUAUAAUUGCCUUUGAAGUUACUGUUUUUGAGUAUAAUAAAAGUUUUAAUUUUUUCCUUUAUUAUUACCUUACUUUGUUAAUGGCUCUCAAUCAAGUUUUUCUUCCUAUCUGACAGUUUCAAGGACCAAUUUUCAGGGAGUCAGUGCCCUACAGGGAAAUGAGUAUGAACUGCAGCUUUCCUAAGGGCACAACUUUCUGAAAUAUUAGUGAGAAUAAAUGCCAUCUAUACACGAGUUGUUUAAGCUCCCAGACACUCUCCUUUCCUGAAAUAAUCAGAAUUGUGCCUUUCCCUAUAACAAUGCCUACAAAAACAGUUUGUAGUCAUUUCCUUAUUUCUUCCUCAUGACCUCUCCCUUUAUACCAGGAAAAAUCAAUAUUCCUUCAUCAAAGGCCAUCUUCUUAUACUCAGGUUUAGAUUCUCUCUUGCAUUCUUGGUGUCUUAGGGACAUUCAUUUUCUCAUUAAACUUUUUAUUUUAUCAUAAUAAACAAAAACUAUUAUAUUUUCAAACUUUGUUUCUAUUUCAUUUAUAUUUCAUUUUAUAUUUCUAUUCAUUUUAUUUUAUAUUUCUAUUUCAUUUUAUAUUCCAUAUUGAAAUCAAUUUAAACAUCAUGUUUAUCCAAAAUCAUCAGUGCCUUCUUUAUUAACCCAAAAGACUGCAUUUCACUCUUCAUUUAUUUAAGUUUCUGCACAUUUUUUUCAGUACUGAGUUCCCUUUCUUUAGUUAUUGUCUUCUAUCCACUGUGUCCAGCUUUGUUCACUGGAAAUACAAUCAUAGUCCAUUUGACACUAUUGUUUCUGUGAAAUAUUCAGAUUUCUCCAGUUUCAGAUUUACAAACUUUUCUGUCUCUGCAUCUACUGUACAAUUGAUUUCAUGAAUUCUAAUGACCACACGCAGUACUUUGGAGAACUGUGUUGUAACCUGAGACAUUAUUUUUUGAAGUACUAACCUUCAGUUCCUCAGAAGAAAAUGGAUCAUUACAGGGAUUUUUAAGUCAAAAUAUGAUACUAGGGUAAGUCUUAAUCCAACAGUUUGCAUUAUUGUGGGAAGAGGAAAUUUCAGUAUACAAAGAUGUACCAAGAAUAUACAUACAUGAGAACAUACCUUGUGCUAGUGUUGGGAGAAGGUGGCUUUUUGAGAUUCAAGGAGAGAGGCCUCAUCAUAAACUGAUAAUACAUAGAACAUCUUGAUCUUAUACUUUUAAACCAGAAUUGCGGGGACAUAAACUAUCAUUUCCCUAGCCACCAAGGAUAUGGCAUUUUUGUUAUAGUUCUUCCAGUAAACAAAAAUAUCUUUAUUAUCUUGAUGUUAAGGAUGUCAAAUUUUAUAUUUUCAAUUCCUGAUCCUUGAUCAACUACCAGAAUUAUAUAUCCUGCAACAGUCUUGGAAGCUCUACUAUUUCAUAAAUCUUCCAAACUUAUGAAAAUUAUAUGCUCUUUCUGCUUUUACAAUCCAGUUUCUUUUCAUCUGCACCAUUUCUGUAACUCCUUUCUAUAGACUGUAUUAUCAAACAUACAUUCCUGUUUCCACCACCACUCAAAAUAUUCAAAAGAAAAAUGGAUGACUUAGAAUGUGGCUUGGUCAUGCCCAUUUUAUACCUAUUGUCAUUGUCAUUGUUCUUGUUAAAAAGCUGAAUUUUACUUCUGUAAAUACAAUUAUACUUUUCCUGGUCCAUCUCUUACUUUCUUAUAUUCUAGGUUAUUUUCUACAGGCAACUGUCAUAGCAAGCUUCAGAAAUAUACUGUGAUAAUACUGCUGAAUUUCCUUAAAUUCUGUGGUGAAUUUCUAUUGCAUCUUUUAAGCAUUUUUAACAUUUUGAAUAUAUCACACAAGUUCCUCUGUGAUUUGGCCCAUUGUUUAUCUCUUAUCAUUUUUAUUUCUUAACCAGAAAUGAGUAGUUAAUCUAAAUUAUCUUCAUUUUCUGGAAACUCUUGCUUGAUUCUAGAUCCAUAAUAUUUAUCUUCCUUAAAGUGUUCUUCUCUUCACUCUUUAAAUAUUUCUCCUUCCUUCAUUAGGGCUCACUUUGACAUCCCCAGGCUACCCAUGACUGAAAUGCCUACACAGCAAUUCCACUCUUAUUAACUUUGUAAACACACUAAUUUGUUAACUUCAAGGCAUGUAAUCAAUCUCUUAAUGAUUUUUGUAUAUUUAUAUGCACUGUUCAUUUUCUGACCUACUAAUGGAAAUAUGAGAUUUCUGAAGUCAGGUGUCUUGUGUUAUAUUUCUUCAGUGAAAGUAUAUAACAACCCCAGAUUCAGAUGAUGUUUAUAUGUUGCUAUGGUUCAUUGCAAGUUAGUACGUGACUUUUCUCUCCAAAGAGACAAAAUGAAAGUAAUGGCUACUUUGAAAGAUUUGUUUUUCUUUGAUGGAAAAGAUUCAUGCUGAUGUGGGAUACACUCAGUUUGAAACAUGUCACUUCUUUAUAGACUUAUGGAGUUUCUGCUAAGUAGUUGACCUCACAAAGGUUUGUAUAGAUUAGACAACAAAUUCAUAUUGGUGACCACUGAUCCUCCCUGGAGUCUAUUGAGAGAUAUAGGCAUUAUAAUACACUGACUGAAGUACCAAAGAUAAAACUCAUGAAUUCCCAUAGAGCCGUGUCUUAGUUAUUUUUUGGUUGCUAUGAUAAAAUUCCUUGGCAUAGCUUGCAUGAUGGUUCAGAAGUUAAUUAGAUUUGCUGCAUAUUCAUAAGGAUCAGAGUUAGGAUAAAUUGUUAUGUAACAACCCAUGUAACAAUGCCAGCAUCUUGUACAUAGUUGUAACCCUGACUUCCAUGGGGAAAAGACAGGAGGAUGACUGUGGCUUAUAGAUUCCAGCUUAGACAAUAAUAUGUGUACCCAUGCUUCUGUGAGGCUUUGACUUGAAGGAAUAAGUGGAGAGUGAUGGAGUAGGACACCUGACAGCCUCUUCUGACAUCUUCUUGAACAUACAGGUACCUGUAUGUAUUCACAUAUACGCAUACACUCACAUAUAAACAAUUUAAACAGAACUACACAUAUAUAAAAAUUAAAAAGUAAUAUACACAUAAAUAAAAUUUAAAAAUAUAAUACAAGAACAGGAAAAA